ensembl:miRNA aca-mir-203 aca-mir-203
CAAAUCCAAGCCUGCUGGGUGCAGUGGUUCUUAACAGUUCAACAGUUCUCUAUUAUAAUUGUGAAAUGUUUAGGACCACUUGAUCCGGCGGGCCCAGG